CAAGACGAGCUGCAGGUCGAGGCUGGCCGCGAUGCAGAAGAUGUCCGGCGCGGCGGCUGCGAUCUCCGGCCAGAUCCGGUCGAGGAGGCGAGGCUGGAGCGAUCUAGGAGGCGCGGGAGGAGGUCCAGCGGCGGAGCUUCAACUCCAAGUACAUGGCGGUGGCGUUCCUCGCCGGUUCCGAGCGAGAUGGGGCUGCGAUGCAGACAAUGCCGGGCGCGACGACGACAAUCUCCGGCCAGAUCCGGUCUAGGAGGCGAGGCAGGGGCCGGAUCCUGCUCGGGGGAUGGCGUGGAGGCGAUCUACGAGGUGCGGGAGGAGGUCCAGCGGCGGGGCUUGAACUCCAGCGGCCCCCCUUUCGAUGGACGGGGUUGCCCACGUCGCCGGCGACUCCCCGGAGGCCGACAGGGCCUCCUCCUCCGCGUCCUCGACCGGCUCGGCCUCUCGGCGCUCCCGGCCGCACAAGGGGAUUCACCUGCGGCGGCGCCCGCGACCAUUGUCUGCUCGGAGAGGAGACGGCGGCGAAGGCGACGGCAAGGGCGCCGGUGACGACGUGCAAGGGCCUCGCGCUGCCGCUGGGGAUGUCCUUCGCGGCGGUUCUCGCCCAGGUGAGCGUCUCCUUGCGUUUUGGCUACUGCUAUUGUUCCUUAAUUGGUAGGCGCCCCACUGGACCCCCUUCCUCCCAGCCAUGCCACAUUGCCGUGCGUCAUCGGCCCACAACGCUGCACCAAGCUCCAUGAGCUAAUUGUUGAGGGUGUGCUUGGCCUGUGGUGACAAGCUCAACCAGAAUUUCAUCGAGUCCGAACUCAAGCUCGACGCCGGCAGAUUCAUCCAGCCGAACCACGGUCACCCACCCCAUAAGUUGUGUUACCUUGCAAUGGCGGAUAUGGUAAGAACCCGGCCUCUUCUCCCUUGCCUGCUCCGACAGCGGUGUUCUGGGCAUCCAUGACCAUGGCAGAAAGUCUCAAAGGAGGCGCCGGCGAGCACAAGGCGCUGCUGCCACCAUCUCUGGAGACUGGCACAACGCAGUGGCUACAAGGGUCCAAGUUGCGUGUGUAGCAGAAGGACACCGAUGGGAAGAAGACCAAUCCAUUUCUCUGGGAAAUAAUCCGAUGGUUUGCUCUUUUCAGUCUUGAGGAUGAGUUGAUUGACAACAAUAAGAUGGGGAGGGGAAGCAUCGGAGGUAAAGAUGUGCAAGGAUGAUAACUCAAGGAGAGGACUGGUAUGCCACGUGAAACAUUACAACAAGAGGAUUGACCUACAAGAGAAAAAACAAGGAGAUGGGGACAUCUAGCAAUCAGCAGCGUGGCGAGGAGGAUGGUGGUGUCACCUGACAUGAAUAGUGGUAAACAAGUUGAUGUAGUUAGCCACGUGUUCCUUACUAUUUAGGCUUGGGAAUUGGGACUUGCCAAAAAGCUGUCGCGUCUAUGUUUGCUAAUGUUUUCAGUCCAUUGGUGUUUCCCUCAUUAUCAUCUCGCGGACUUUGGAUCUCUAUCAAUACAUGAAUUCAGUUUCUACAAGUUCUUACAGUAUUUCUGUAGUUCUUUGCAGGGGAUUUUUGUUCAUGCAUGACUCAUGGUACAAUAAGAAUUAUCUGUAAUUCAUGGACAGUAGGAGUUUUCUGCCUGGUAGUAAUUACUCAAAUAACAUCUUUUUCCAUGCUUUCUCUUCUUAUUUUUUUAUGUUUAAUUAUUUAUUUGAUCAGCAACCUACAUGAAGUACUUUCCAGAGCAGCCAUUCUGGAGUCUCUUAUACCAUUAACGAAGUUCUAUUCAUAGAUGAUAAACCCUGUUCCAGAGCACCCGCUACGAGCUUCAUGUAUGUUGUUGAUUCAUAAGACAUUCACUUGGGAGCAGGUGAUGUGGUUCUUGGAACGCUUCCUUUAGCAUGGGAAUUUAUACGCCAUGGAGUUAAUUAAUAUAUAAAUUUAAAUAUAAAAAUAAGAAGAAAAAGAUAAAUUUUGGUAGGUUUGCUCGACAUUGUAGUUUGAAUUAAAGAACACAUGUUUUUGCUGUUUGAACAUAUUGAAUCAUGAGCUGGCAAAAAGCAAUAUAUAGCAUGCUCAUAAUAAAUUUAAUUUACAUUUCUGUUCUCUUCCAUGGACAAUUAUAGACUUCAGACUAGAUCGAGAAAUUACAUUUUAUUGGUGUCACCAGAAGGUCCAGAACUGAUAGAAAUACGACCUUUUACAGUUUGAGCAACCUUGUGAAAUAACCAUUUAACGAUUACUCUUUCUACUGCUACUAAGAUGCUUAGCAUAAGCCGAUAAAAUAAUACUAGGUACUUCUGGUUAUAAGUUCGUCGCCGGCUUUGAUGAUGUUAAGGCUUGAGCAAUGUUGUGAAAUAACCAUUUGGUGAUUCAUUUUUCUACUGCUACUCAGGUUCUUAGCAUAAACUGUAUAAUUAAAUGCCGAUUAUAUUGGUAGUUCUGGUUGCAAAUUGGAUGUAGGCUUUGAAUGAUGUUAUGGCUAUUGAACUUCCAGAAAUUGUAGCUGAGUCUGCAAAGGUAUAGAAUGAAUGGAAAAUUUAUUCUCCUUAGACAUCCUAGCAUAUCCACCGAUGGAUCUAACUUCUGAUUUAUUGUUUGUUAUGUAUCACAACAAUAUAGUAUCCUUCUGAAAGAUGCAGACGCAGGAAGAUUUAUAGUUGAUGGUAUGGCUAGCAUCCAAAUUGAUACACCAGCCCUAAUGUCUGUUUCAAAUGCAAUGCUCUAAUUUUGUGUCGAAUCCAAGCUGCAAGUUUUCUUUAUUUAAUACUAGAAUAUGUUAUUCAUGAUUAGUAAAAUCAUUGCAGCCAAUAGUCUAGGAAAGCAGUCGGGUCGGUGUUAUUACGUGUAGUUUGCAAUUUGUCGCUGUAAUAAUCUAUAGCUGCUAGCAUACCCACUUUAUCGCGCAGCCAUGAGUUUUACCCUGGUACAAAUGAUAGAAUCAUAAUGGUCUCUCGACUGUUUGACGAAGUAGUUAAGGCCAUGGAGUUGGUUCUGGAGAAACUAUUAUCAGAAGUAAAACAAUUUGUUUUGCAAAUGGUCAUGUCUGUAGGACCAUGUUGCCAUUGUUUGAUAACUGAUAUUCUCCUGUUAUUUUCCAGGGUGAAGAAUCCAAUGAAGCUGAAGCUAGGCCUAAAUUUAGACUUGUAGUUCCUAAUAGCUCUUGCGGUGGAAUUAUUGGUAAAGAAGGAGCAACAAUCAAGUCAUUCAUUGAAGCUUCAGCGACCCAUAAAACCCGGGAAGUGAAGCCCUCUUCAAUCCUCUACCUCUCUCGCUGUUGUGUCCAGCCUGCUGCCUGCCUGCUGUGUUGCCUCAAAGAAGGGUCGGGGGCACUUGAUGUGGAGGAUGGCGACAAGGAGAAGUGAGGAUUUCGUGAGGACAGAAACAACGGGAGAGAUAAAACAUACUCCUCUGGUGCAUUGAAUUUAGACUGUUUGAUAUUCUGCUGCUGGUCAAUUCAGUUUCCGUGCUCCGGUUUCAUGACGGGAGUUGUCCGUCAGGGGGUAAGUUGUAGGCGCACACAAGCGCGCAUGUGCUCGUGCAUCUCGGUGUGUGGACACGGGAUGCUCUCUGCAGUUCAGAGUAAGAGCGAUCAUAUAUGGCUUGAGAUAUUGCAUAGGAAAAGGAUCUACCAGAUCAUCAAUGCAACACAGGACAUCUGAAUUUAACCUUAUCUUUCUCUUUUCUUUUGAAAGGGAUAGAGGAGUGGAAAGGCGUACUGCUUGAUCAGAAACUAAGGAGUUUGCAUCAUUAUUAGCUGCCAGUAUAGCUUACUUUGAGCUUAACCACAUACCUGAUUGUUGUGUAUGAAAGCACAAUCCUAUCAAAUACUCUUCUUUUUUGCUUGGGUGUUC